UUGGUGGCCGAGGGUAGAACUAGGUGUGGAGUGGAGUCGAGUGGACGAGGGGAGGGAGGCGGACGGAAGAGGGUGGUGGAGGUAUAGAGAGAGAGGUUAGGUAAGGAGGAGGAACCCUCUCUGGUUCGCGUUGAGUGGAGUUGUUACUUCCCGUCCUCCGUCUCGUACCACGGCCUGCCCCCGACGUCGCGGUCGUUCUACCUCGCGUUCCUGCACCUCUUCUUGGCGUCCGACGUGUACUUCCCGGAGACGGAGUUCGAGAGGAGGGAGCAGGGCGGGAGGAGGCGUGUGGUGGAGGCUGUGAUAAGAAGAUGAAGAAGGAGUGGUGGCAGGUCGUUGUUCCUGCGCCGCUGCGUCGACCUGGUCGACCUGUCGCGGCGCCGCAUGUAGUUCGUCGAGGCCCCGGCCUAGCUGGUGGAGUUCGCGGCGUUCGUCCGGCGGGAGAGGCCGCCGUGCCGGCCGACGAGGAGGAGGCAGAGGCGGCCGCUGAUGUUCAGUGUCUGCCGGAGCGACGGCCACUAGCUCCAAGCCGUGGUCCUGCCCUGCGAGCUGCACCGCGACCGCUCGCUUAGGCCCGCCGGCAAGGCCGACGUGCUCCACUAGCGGCACGACCUCGUCCUCCCGCGGCUCCACCAGUCGCGGUCGAAGAGCCAGCAGCCGCUGUUCUAGAAGAUGUGCCAGGUAAGGGUCCGCUACACGGGGGCGUAGCCGGAGCUCGGGCCGUCCCAGCGGGUGGCCGAGGCGCCGGAGCGGCGUCGGCGUCGGCGGUGGCAGAGCAGCAGCCAGGAGGACUGUACUAGAGAAAGAAAGAACAAAAACGGUACCACUGUCUGGUCGGCCAGAUAAAAAAGUAGUUAGCGUCGUCGAAUCGUAUCGAAUCAUGACGAGAUGAGACGAGCAGUAACUCGAAGUCCAGACAGACUUUAGAUGAUGAUCGCAUCAGUACACAUGGACGUAUAGAGGAGGAAACACUUCUACACUCUGUAAAAUCGUAAGUCUUACAACCUAAAGAAAGA
rnacentral:rRNA from 1 species